rnacentral:tRNA from 1 species
AGGGUUUUAGUUAAAAAUAACAUUUGACUUGCAAUCAAAAAGUGCUGAUAUCAGCUUACCUUC